rnacentral:lncRNA from 1 species
CAAUUGCAUAUAUACUUCUGAAAAUUUUCGACUUUCUGAUUUACCCCUUUUAGAAGGCUAAUAUUGAAAAUAUCCUUUUUACGUUCCAACCUAUUUUAAAUAUACCACUAGAGUUAAAUUCUGUUAAUGAACUGUUAAAAUAGUUGUUAUUUCUAAAAAAUUAAUAUUUUUUCCUUUCAAAUAUACCCUUCUAUCAUCACCCGUUUUUUUUAUUUGCCCUUAAGUUAGGGGUACAAAAAAUAUUUUGAUUUUUGAUCUUUUCAAGCAUACCUUUUUACCAUCACCAAUAUUUCUUAUUCGCCCUUAAGUUAAGGAUAAAAAAGAUAUUUUGAUUUUUUUUUUUAACUCAAAUAGAUACUUAACUCAGGUUUAACCUAAGUUAACUUAACAUGUGAUAAUUGCAGGGGUAUUUUGGAAUAACAGAAGAACAAAUGAAGGGUAUAAUAAAAAAGAAAAAAAAAAGUAGUGGUAAAUUAGAUAUUUCUAAAGUUUUGAGUGGUAUAUAGCCAAUUAUCUUUUUUUUUUUUUAA